rnacentral:rRNA from 1 species
UACGUAGGGGGCAAGCGUUGUCCGGAUUUAUUGGGCGUAAAGAGCGUGUAGGCGGCCAUACAGGUCAGCUGUGAAAACUCGAGGCUCAACCUCGAGACGUCGGUUGAAACCGUAUGGCUAGAGUCCGGAAGAGGAGAGUGGAAUUCCCGGUGUAGCGGUGAGAUGCGCAGAUAUCGGGAAGAACACCCGUGGCGAAGGCGGCUCUCUGGGACGGUACUGACGCUGAGACGCGAAAGCGUGGGGAGCGAACAGG